CACGUAGGGUGCAAGCGUUUGUCCGGAAUUAUUGGGCGUAAAGGGCUCGUAGGCGGUCUGUUGCGUCAGGAGUGAAAACUCGGGGCUUAACCCCGAGCCUGCUUCUGAUACGGGCAGACUAGAGGUAUGCAGGGGAGAACGGAAUUCCUGGUGUAGCGGUGAAAUGCGCAGAUAUCAGGAGGAACACCGGUGGCGAAGGCGGUUCUCUGGGCAUUACCUGACGCUGAGGAGCGAAAGUGUGGGGAGCGAACAGG
rnacentral:rRNA from 1 species